rnacentral:rRNA from 1 species
CCCCGGGGAUAACAGGCUGAUCUUCCCCAAGAGUCCAUAUCGACGGGAUGGUUUGGCACCUCGAUGUCGGCUCGUCGCAUCCUGGGGCUGGAGUAGGUCCCAAGGGUUGGGCUGUUCGCCCAUUAAAGCGGUACGCGAGCUGGGUUUAGAACGUCGCGAGACAGUUCGGUCCCUAUCCGCUGCGCGCGUAGGAGACUUGAAAGGGGCUGUCCCUAGUACGAGAGGACCGGGACGGACGAACCUCUGGUGUGCCAGUUGUACCGCCAGGUGCAUGGCUGGUUGGCUACGUUCGGAAGGGAUAACCGCUGAAAGCAUCUAAGCGGGAAGCUCGCCUUGAGAUGAGGUCUCCCACCCUGUGAGGGGGUAAGGCUCCCGGUAGACGACCGGGUUGAUAGGCCGGAGGUGGAAGCGCGGUAACGUGUGGAGCUGACCGGUACUAAUAGGCCGAGGACUUGACCACAA